UACAGAGGUCUCAAGCGUUGUUCGGAUUCAUUGGGCGUAAAGGGUGCGUAGGUGGCGCGCUAAGUCAGGUGUGAAAUUUCGGAGCUUAACUCCGAAACUGCAUUUGAUACUGGCGUGCUUGAGGACUGGGGAGGAGACUGGAAUUCACGGUGUAGCAGUGAAAUGCGUAGAUAUCGUGAGGAAGACCAGUGGCGAAGGCGGGUCUCUGGACAGUUCCUGACACUGAGGCACGAAGGCCAGGGGAGCAAACGGG
rnacentral:rRNA from 1 species